rnacentral:rRNA from 1 species
UGAGGAAUAUUGGACAAUGGAUGGAAAUCUGAUCCAGCCAUGCCGCGUGCAGGAAGACGGCCCUAUGGGUUGUAAACUGCUUUUGUAUGGGAGCAAUAAGGACUACGAGUAGUUUGAUGAGAGUACCAUACGAAUAAGCAUCGGCUAACUCCGUGCCAGCAGCCGCGGUAAUACGGAGGAUGCGAGCGUUAUCCGGAUUUAUUGGGUUUAAAGGGUGCGUAGGCGGCGAUAUAAGUCAGUGGUGAAAUAUUUCGGCUUAACCGAGAGACUGCCAUUGAUACUUUGUUGCUAGAAUAUGGUUGCUGUGAGUGGAAUUUUUGGUGUAGCGUUGAAAUGCUUAGAUUUCACACAGAAUAUCGAUUGCGAAGGCAGCUCACAAAGCCAUUAUUGACGCUGAGGCACGAAAGUGUGGGGAUCA